rnacentral:ncRNA from 12 species
AUCCCUCGAGGUGGUAAAUUUCGUUGCAACCACGCACCUUCGCGGUCAAAGAGAUGCAGGAGAGGCGACGCCUGCCGAGGGAU